GGGGUUGUGGCUCAGUGGCAGAGCGCUUGCCUAGCAUGCAUGAAGCCCUGGGUUGGAUCCUCAGCACCACA
rnacentral:tRNA from 1 species